UACGUAGGGUGCGAGCGUUGUCCGGAAUUAUUGGGCGUAAAGGGCUCGUAGGCGGUUUGUCGCGUCGGGAGUGAAAACCCAGGGCUUAACCCUGGGCUGGCUUCCGAUACGGGCAGACUAGAGGUAUGCAGGGGAGAACGGAAUUCCUGGUGUAGCGGUGAAAUGCGUAGAUAUCUGGAGGAACACCGGUGGCGAAGGCGGCAUCCUGGACCGAGAUUGACGCUGAUGCGCGAAAGCCAGGGGAGCAAACGGG
rnacentral:rRNA from 1 species